UGCCUGGGAAGGAACCAGACAAGAGAAGUCAGCUCUUCUCUCCUCCUCCACCAAAGUCGUCUCCUGAGAUUAGCCACAAAGAGGUCUGGGGAUGUGAGGACAGGACGAGUCACACACGACUGAGUUCUGGGGAUAGGGUUUUGCUGGAAAUACUGGGGUCUGGCCCUGAGGUCAAGGGGAAGGUGGACUUCAGCUGCCCCCACCUUAGCUUCCCUGUGAUUCUGGAAGGAAACAGCUAAACAGGUAUAACUGCUGGGCUUUCUCUCCUACUGAAUGAUGGAGGAAACUGAGUAACGCAAAGGAUGCAAUUGUGGCUGCAAAAGCAUAAAACAUGAUGACGGAUGACGGCAGGGACCUUGGUUGAGCACUUAGUAUAUUCCAGGCACUAUUGUUCGCUGUUUCUAUGCAUUAUCUCAAUCCUCACCGAAACCUUUCAAGAUUGAAAUAUAACCCCCAUUUUACAAGUGACAAAACUGAGGCCCAAGAGGCUCAAUAACUUGCUCAAGGUCACACAGCUAAGGAUUUAAACCCAAAUGAUUGGGCUCCUGAGCUUAUGCUUUUAACCUCCAUCCCAUUGUUGGGUCCAUCAUGAUUGGCUUAUGGGAUGGGCGUGUGACCAGAGCUGGGUCAAUCAGAGCCCUCCAGUGAAAUGUGCCUUAGAGAGACUGAAACGGAUAGGGCCUCCUGCUCCCUUGAUUCCAGCACCAUGAGGUCAGGUUGGGCUGCUGGUAUUCCUCUUCUCAGCAGUCUACAGUGGAACCUGAGGAGCCAGCAGAAGCAAGGUGAUGUGAGAGACACAGCAGGAAGGGGAGUGCUACCAUGCCACAUCUUUGGAGGCCUGUCCCGGUCACGAAGCACUGGUCAUCUGCUGAUCACGGAUGCACUAAAGUUCCAGGACCAGUGCUGCCUGCUCUGGGAAGCUUUUCCCAAAGCUCCACCAGCUCACCGCAGGGAGCAGUUCAUGGUCAACUCAGUGUGGCCACGACAUAAUGGGGCUGGAGUUGUACACUCUCAUCUAGACCCUUGAGAACAGGGGUGACCUUUAAGGUUCUUCCAACUCACCCACCUCCCUGUCAAAGUCCAAAUCCUCUUUAUAGAGUCCCUGCAAUUACUUGCACACCUCCAGCGACAAGCAGCCCAACACCUCCUAAGAUGACUGACGUGUGAGUUUCAUCGUCUCAUGUGUGCCAAGAACAGGCACCACGUACCACAAAUCUGUAUUUCUCCAGAGUUCUGUGCUCAGGCUCUGGUCCCUGCUCAGCAAUUACUGGCUGGUUAAAACAGUCACAAGGACCAGUUACUCCUUUUUGUUUUUCUUUUUUCUGGAGACAGAGUCUUGCACUGUCACCCAGCUGGAGUGACAAUGCAAUGUCACUCACGCAAUGGCGCGAUCUCGGCUCACUGCAACCUUGAGAACAGGGGUGACCUUUAAAGUUCUCCCAAGGUUCAAGCGAUUCUCCUGCCUCAGCCUCCUGAAUAGCUGAAACUACAGGCACCCACUACCACACCUGGCUAAUUUUUUGUAUUUUUAGUAAAGAUGGGGUUUCACCAUGUUGGCCAGGCUGGUCUUGAACUCCUGACCUCGUGAUCCACUGCCUCAGCCUCCCAAAGUGCUGGGAUUACAGACGUGAGCCACCAUACCGGGCUCUAGUUACUCCUUUUCUAGUGACAAACACCAGCUUAGAGGCACUGCAAAGACUGUCUUCUGUCAAUACUGCUGUUGCUUCCAUAAUUUUCCGGGAUCCCUUCCUGCCAGUUCCAAGGAUGAUCCCUACUGGCUGGUAGAGUACCCCCACACAGGAAGGCAAGCUCUUGAGGGAAUCUCAUUUUCUGGUGGCAGGCAAGAUGGGUUGGGCAGGUCUUCCCUAGGUCAACUAAGUCUUCCUGUCCCCUCUAUUCAGUACUCCCCUCCCCUCAGUGAACACCAACUGUGUGCAAUGCUAGGACUGUACCUGCACUAUCUCAUCUAAUUGGUGCAUCUGCUUCACAGAUGAGGAUACUGAGGCUUAGAGGGAUUAGGUGCUCUUAUGUUGCCCAGGUUGGCCUUGAACACGUAGCCUCGCCUCCUUAAGCACUAGGACAACUGGCCAAGCCACUGCGGCUUCUGGGAUUAGGUGCUAAAGCCACCUAUGUAUGUAGUAAGGAGCUGUGGUGACAAUUCCUUUGUCAGGCUAUUUCCUGCCCCCUGCUUCUUCUGGUAAGACAUGAUAUUUCCUUUGCCACAGUAAGGGCCAGUGACCUAGGUUGGCCCAAUGGGACUUUUCUAACUGGAGGUUGUGAAAAGAGCUCCUUCCUUUAUGGCACUGGGUUCUAAGAGAGCAAGCCCAGGACUGCCUACAGCAAAGGUUCCACCCUCAAGAGACAGCCAGGUCAGAAUGAAGUAGCCUCGCAGAGAGGAUCAGGGAAAGGGGGAGAGAAAGCGCUGGCACUGUUCAUGUUCCCAGUUUGUGAUCUGGCCACAUGAGCCAACACGUUCCUUUUUGCUAAGGAUGGUGGAGUUCACACUGGCUUUCUGUCACUUGCAGCCCAGUCACUCUGAAUAACACAGAAUUCAAACCUGGGUUUAUAUUAAUUCAAGACCUGUGCUCUUAACAGCUUGCUAUUUUGUUUUUUGUUUUUUUUUCAGAGACAGGGUCACCCAGGCUGGAGUGCAGUGGCCUGAUCAUAGCCCACUGCAGCCUGGACUUCCCAGGCUCAAGCAAUCCUCCCACCUCAGUCUCCUGGGCAGCUGGGACUACAGGUGCAUGCCACUAUGCCUGGCUAUUUUUUUUUUUUUUUUGUAGAAAUGAGGUCUCACUAUGUUUACCGGGCUGGCCUCAAAUUCCUGGGCUCAAGUAAUCAACACAUCUCAGCCAUCCAAAGUGCUGGGAUUACAGCUGUGAGCCACAGUGCCUGGCCAACAGCUUGCUAUUCUGUUUUUGAUUACUAGGCUUAUCAGAAGAUCAAGUUAGAAAGGGAUCAGCGUGGCCUAGAGCAAUACACAAAGCUUGCAUAAUGGAAAGGAGCCUCAAGGCACAGAGGGACGAAUCUAACUAGACAGAAAAGCAGGAGAGCAGGGGAAAGGCCUGGAGUGGGGUUGAAGAAGAUGCUGCAUGAAGCCAGAUAAAGAGAAGGGAGGGGUGGCUGGAUCUUCAGGCUGGAUAGAUAUUCAGUAACCAUGAGGACUGCUCAGUGGUCUGAGACCAGUGACCAACACAGAGGCCCUACCCAGCUCCUUCUUCAGUGACCAUCAGAGUAAGGCCUCAAAAAGCAGACAGUGAGAGAAGCACUUGCUGCUGGAAUUUGGAGGCCUGCUGGGAACAGGACUUAUAAAAGGAACUAUGUCUGGAAGGCUGUGGUCCAAAAUUAUUUUUGCUGGCUAUAAGCGGGGUCUCCGGAACCAAAGGGAGCACACAGCUCUUCUUAAAAUUGAAGGUGUUUAUGCCCAAGAUGAAACAGAAUGGGCAAGAGAUGUGCUUAUGUAUACAAAGCAAAGAACAACAACACAGACAACACAGUGACUCCUGGCGGCAAACCGCACAAAACCACAGUGAUCUGGGGAAAGGUGACUCGGGCACGGAAACAGUGGUGUGGUUUGUGCCAAAUUCCAAAGCAACCUUCCUGCUAAGGCCAUUGGACACAGAAUCCGAGUGAUGCGCUACCCCUCAAGGAUUUAAACUAAUGAAAAGUCAAUAAAUAAAUGUGGAUUUGUGCUCUUGU